UCUAGGUAUAGCCGGUCAAAUUCCUCUAAAAGAUCACUGCUAUUUUGGAAUUCUGUUGGAAACCUGAUUUCAGACUAUUUGUGGAUCAACCAGUGACUUCAAGGAGGGAGCAUGAAUUAUCUGCAACUUUCAUUGAAUUAUUCAGUACCUACCAUGCAUGAUUCUAAUUGUUUCAAAGGUAUCUCCCUUAAAAAUAAAUGGCUUUUCAGCUAAA